rnacentral:rRNA from 1 species
ACUCAAAGGAAUUGACGGGGACUCGCACAAGCGGUGGAGCAUGCGGUUUAAUUCGAUGCAACGCGAAGAACCUUACCAGGUCUUGACAGUGUAAAGAAUACUUAAGAGAUUAAGGGCUAAGAAUUAAGCUUGCUUAUUUCACUUUAUAAACAGGUGGUGCAUGGUUGUCGUCAGCUCGUGUCGUGAGAUGUUGGGUUAAGUCCCGCAACGAGCGCAACCCUUAUUGCUAGUUGCCAUCAUUAAGUUGGGCACUCUAGCAAGACUGCCGGUGACAAAUCGGAUGAAGGUGGGGAUGACGUCAAAUCAUCAUGCCCCUUAUGACCUGGGCUACACGCGUGCUACAAUGGCUAAUACAAAGAGUUGCAAAACCGUGAGGUAGAGCUAAUCUCAUAAAGUUAGUCUCAGUUCGGAUUGUAGUCUGCAACUCGACUACAUGAAGUUGGAAUCGCUAGUAAUCGUAAAUCAGAAUGUUACGGUGAAUACGUUCUCGAGUCUUGUACACACCGCCCGU